CCUUUUAUAAGUCCCGAUUCACAUCUCUUUUUAGCAUUCUACUAAGACCCUCAGUCGCUAUAUUGAAAAGAGAUGCUGAUAAAGAGUCCCCUCUUCGCAAUCCCUUUUCCAUAAAGAACUCUACAAGAAUUGGAAGUUUUGUUGUCGAAAUACAUUAUUAUAUCCAUCAUCUCCAUCGUGAACCAAAACCCACACAAGCCAUAACUGUCGAAAUACCUGGGCAGUAAUUGUUUUGCGUGGUUUAGGAUUAUGUGUGAUAGCACUGAAAGGCGAGUGAUCCAACUCUCUCUUGGGGGUGCUGGGGAUUGGGGGUUAGGCGAGUGGGUUCUCAACGCAUCUUUGUUUCUGCCUUUCAAAGAAUUGCAAAGUCUUGAUUUGAAGGUUACUGAAUUAGUUGGGUGCCUUUGAGAAUCAAGGCUUCGGAGUGUUGAAGCCUUGUAUUAAAUUUCGCUAGUUCUCCAACUUCAGAGGAUCUUAGCAUGGGAGCACUGGAUUUGUUGUGGUUGCUGGUGGGGGGAAUCAAUGGUUUGCUUCUUGCAUUCUUGGCCCAAAAUUGUGUUAGUUCGAAACUUGUCGGCAAUUUUCUUGAAUGUGUACAGCUAAUGGGUGCUUUUUAGUGUGUUGACCUCAUAGCUUAGCCUUAUUGUUGAUCGUUUCAAUAGAGAAGUGUUGUAACUAUAUUUAUCUGUGGAAUCCUAAGUCUGUCUUAUUUAAUUAAUUUGUUUUCGCUAUUU